GCAUGCUUGUCUUUAGGGUCUGUUGGCAAUUUGGCGGUAUCAAAACCAUGGGGUUUGGUCACAUGCCUUGGUGUCCAGAGAUAUCCCCUGAGCUUGUGUUGGGGUCUCAGCACUUGUAGGGGACAUUCUAGGACACUGUGGAGCCACUACAGGGUGGAGGGACAUGAGGCAAUGUGGAGAUUUUUCUUGCAGUGUGUGUGUGGGGGGGUCUGGGGAUCCCCAGUGGCUUGUGGACACUGCCUUUGCCUGUGGGAGCUGGACCCAGUUGCUGGGGUGGUGUCUGUGCAUGCUGUAAGAGUUUGGGGGAUCUGAGCAGCUCUUCAUGAUGGCACACACCCU
rnacentral:lncRNA from 1 species